CACCCGCGCUCGCUCGCGCACGGGAGGACCAAUGGGAAGCAGGCGCACGCGGCGGUCCAACGGCGUUUGGGCGGGAGGCAGAAUAGGAGAAAAGAGAAAAGGCUGUUGGGGCGCCCGCGCGCACACAGCUGGUUGGCUGGUUGCCUUGCGCACGCGCUUCAUGCUCUCGCUCUCCAUCUCUCUCGCGCUUAUCUCGAGACCCUUUCUUUUGGGGGGGAGGGGAGGGGGAGGUCACGUGGUACCCAGCUAGGAAUGCGGCGCGCGGAAUCAGCACUGGGAAAGUGGCAUUAGGCGCGCUAAGGCUAAGAGCAAGAAGCUGUGAACGUUGACUGUCUGCUAGGAAUAGUUAAACUGUGCUUCCGCCUAUUCUCUGCUUAUACAUUUGCAAAUAAACCUUAUGAAGCACCAUAUACUUCCAGCAUCUUCUUUCUCACGGAAACCAAGCCUGGAAUUUGAAUACUGGAAAAGAAGAGAGGCGUGAAAAAUGAGCCAGCUGAAAAACAGCUACAGGAAAUCAGCAGUUAUAGCCAGUCCUUUCUUAGUCCAUGAGUCUGCUUCAUCGAAGAUCAGCAGCAAACAAGGAGCUGGAGCUUGGUGAUGCAUCAAUACUCUUUGGUAGAGGGAAGGCUGAAUGAAGAUCUUGUAAAACAACUAUUCCAUAGCAUUAUGCCAUAGCAGUUAAAAUAAGAUACAAUAGCAUUCAUCCUGUAGUGUGGAUUCAUCUUAGGAUGAGAAAGGAAGAAAAUUACUGGUAUCUCUUAUUUGUUGGCCAUGGAAAUAGAAGGAAAUAUUAGCUAUAAUUUUGUAAUUUCCCUUCUGAUACCUGGAAGGGCAUAGGUGUGAGCCUCUUAACGUCACAUUGGGGCCUAGAGGUUUGUCUCCUUUGGAGAAAGUUUUUUUUUUUUUGGCAAGCCUAAUAUGGGGGCAGAUGUUAGAAAUGAGGUGUAGAUCUGUAGAACUGCAAUCUUCAAAAUAGCCUUCUUUGGAUCCCACUGAAAUCAACCACAUCUGAGAGGCCUUGCAUGAAUGCACCACAAACGUAACAGAAAGCAACGGCUGGAAGCUAAGCAGAGCUGGUGAGAAAAUGGGAUUGCCAUACAUGUCACUCAGGAUUCCAGUGAAGAAAACAACGUUUUCUGCAAAAUAAACCUAUUAAGAGGCUUAUGUUUUGUUUGCAGAAGUUCACUUCAGAAGCUUCUCAGAGCCUCUGCUUUAUGGGGAUAUGCAGGUUGUACAAAUCUAUUGUUCUUGUUCUCUUAUUUUGUUACAAAUGAAUAAAUACAUGAAGGACUUUAGAACUGUAUUUCUUCCCACCUUCCAUCAGGUAAGCAUCGGCUUCUUUUAAGACUUCAAACUAACAUGUUUUCGUUCCCCAGAAUGGGUUUCUUUCCCAGAGGAUGUUCAUGAGAAACUGAUAUAUAAUGUGUUUUUCAGGUAGAUUGCACAGAUGUGGGAGUCAUUAUCAUAUGAUGAAAAAAAACAAGGAAAAGAAUCUCAGUGUAGAAAAAGGUGUUUGAGACACUCCACAGUAGAUCAUGUUUUGUGUCUACUCACCACAAAAGAAAAGGUACCACAAGACAGAAUGUAGCUGGAGUGGGGAAUAAAAUAGCACUUUGUGAAGCUGAACAGAUGAGAUUCACUUGUUUUGAAUUGGUAUUGACAAUGAGACAAAAGAUAAUAUGGCAUAAAGGAAGAGUUUUCUCCAUUGUGCCUGGAAAUGCACAUCAUACCCAGGGUAGUGAUCGGAGGGGGGGUGGAUUAUAGGUCGUCCCCAAAGUAUCUUGGCUACCAUUCAGGGAAUUUAGCUGUUCGCUUUGAACACUAGGUUGUGUACAAAGCAUGUCUAAAAAUAAUCCAUUUCCCAGUGUUGGAAUAGGGGAAGUGAAGUGAGUGGCAAUUGCUCCAUUGUACAUGACAGAUUACAAGCAAGUUAUCCAGUGCUGCUUUAUAUGCAGGGCUAGUCGUGAAGGCUUCAUGUGGGCAAGCUACAAAUAAAACAAAUGAAAUGAAAAACAAUGCAGCACGUUUACCAAAGCGGCGCAUGUGACGGUUUUGUUUAUGUGUGCUCUGGAGAUCUUGUAUGUACUAAUGACAGACAAAUGUGCAUGUUCCCUUUGCUGACAGUCAAAGCUCUCUCUCGCUCUCUCUCUUCUCAACAAAGCAAGCAGAUGAAGUGAAGGACUGGAGCUAACACCCACUUGAGAGUUACGGAUGUGACAGUUCUGUGGCUGCUAAUGGCAGGAUUACUGUGGCUGUUGUUAUCCAGAAGGUUUUUCACACACAUACACCCUUCUCAGACUGAAUGUACGGAAAAGCAGCUGGUUCGUCAGACAGUUGACUUCGCUUGUAAAAUUGCUUGCCAUUGCUUUGCAGAAGGAGCCCUUUUGUAUAACCUGGAGUUUGUCACUGUCACUUCAGCUGCAGGCAGCUCCCUUGUCUCUGGUUAAAGAAGCAUGUUGGGUGUGAAGAGGGUAGAUUUGCAUCGCUGGAGGUUUUGGUUUGGGCAGAUCUCUGCAGCACCUGCAGCUGGGAAUUCAUAUUUUAACCAUACAAAUGGAAAGGGAGAUAGAACAAAUCCUCAAGCUGCAGAUAAUUGUUUUGCUGGAAGGAAAAGAGAGAUUAUCCUAAGCAUUUGCAUUCUCCAUUGCAACCAAGCUAUCUGCUGCUAUUGUGACCCUUUCCCCCUCAAGUUUGCCAUGAUAGUAACUUCUGCAACCUCUCAUGAAUAAUUUUUUCACACUAUACAGUUACAGUACUAUGAUUCCUAUUUAAUUGCCAUGACAACACCCUAUGGAAUACUGGGAUUUGCAGUUUAGGGAUAAGUACUUAGAAUUCUCAAUCAGGGCACAUUAGUGUUUUGGAAGUUGCCAUGUCGAUUAAAUUGGAAUCGUAGUACUCUAAUUGUACAGUGUAAAAAUACCAAGGUGAAACGUAUCCUACUGUACAGCUAUAGUUCUAGGAAAAGUGAGGCACAAGAUUUCUCUAGCUAGGAAUUCUCAGUGUUCCUCCCUAAAUUUCAGAUUUCAAAAUUACAUAGGAUGCUUCCAGUGCGGUUAAACUGGAAUAUAGCUUUAUAACCAUGUAGUGUGCUAAGGAUCUUUUUUGAUGAAAUGUUGCUAACAAUGCCUCAUUAAGAAACAUGGUGGACUCCAGGAAUAGCAGUUGUAGGUGGUUUCCGUUUGCUUUCUGAAAUCUGCCUUGGAAUGAAUAAUAGCUAGCACAGAUAUUUGUCCUUAUGUUGACUUUUUCACUUGAAAUCCCGAUGUCUGUCAUUACAAUAUUUACAAUCCAUACCUAAAUCUAAUUGCUAGCCUUAACUAAACUCAAUGAAUCAUUGGGAACUUUAUAAUCAACAGUGUUGUAGAUUUCACUGAUUCUUUUGAGUCUACACUACUGGCGACUAGAGAGUUGUACAAACCUAUGUGAGUACAUCCCACUGGACAUACUGGAAGAUGAAUAAGGAAAUAGACAGAAGUGUUCCUACUGAUGGUUCUCCAGUUUUGUAAUUUAUUACACCAUGAGGUUCAGCAAAGGUUCAACAUAAGCAACUUCUUGCAACCAUGUAAAAGGUUUCUUAACCUUUUCCACAUUAGUACUUAUGUUUAAAUAUGCAGGUCUUACCACAUUUGCUGUUUUGACUUUUGGGGAUUUGAUUAUUCAGAUUUGAUGAAAAAUAUUUCUUCUAGGAAUUUCUAGGCCCUUUAGUGUGACUUGAUGACUAACUUCCUCCAGACAUGCUGGAGAAGCUAGAGAUUUAAAACGAGAAGACCAUUUCUAGGUAUCUCUACAUCCUCCAGUGUGAUUCUGUGGUCAAUUUACAGUGGAGGAAGACCUAGAAAUUCCUAGAGAAAUGUUCUUAGAUUAAAAAAUAUUGAUGUUUUGAUUUGCAGAGUUUUUAAAACUUCCAUGGGGGUCGUGUGCCCCUAACCUUAAUUGAUGUGGAGGGAUGACUAUACAUGUAAAAUACCAGUAAAACAUGACAAUAGGGAUAGUACCAUGGCAGUUCCUGUGUAUUGUGGAAGGAAGGUAAGGCAUGCCAUCUGACCAUCAGUAUGCUGAGCUGUUGUUUUAUGUUCUGAGAUGGCUAGGGGUGAAGCUGCUAGUCUUCUCAUGAAGCCGGAUCUAUACUAGCCAAUGAAACUGUUUUUGAUAGGCUGACCUUAUCCUGCUUCUUCAGAAUCUAUAAAAUGUACAGGCUUCUGGAAAAGGAAAAGUCUGAUGUGCCAAGAGAAAGUGGCCGUCUGCCAGCACUCUGUGGAUCACAAUGGAGUUUUCUGAAAUUGUGGAUAUCAUUUCUGUGUGUUGUUGGAAGACGUUCAUGGCCGAAAUCACUGGGCUGCUGUGAUUUUUCUGGGCUGUAUGGCCAUGUUCCAGAAGCAUUCUCUCCUGACGUUUCACCCACGCCUAUGGCAGGCAUCCUCAGAGGUUGUGAGGUAUAUUGGAAUCCAGGCAAAUAAGAAUCUCCAGUAUUCAAUCCUACAGUUGGAAUCCCCCGGUGCAGCAGUGGAUUGGGUUGCUGACUUGAAGAUUGCCAGUUUGAAUCCAACCCGGGGAGAGCGUGGAUGAGCUCCCUCUAUCAGCUCCAGCUCCAUGCGGGAACAUGAGAGAAGUCUCCCACAAGGAUGGGAAAAACAUCAAAACAUCUGGGCAUUCCUUUGCAGAUGGCCAAUUCUCUCACACCAGAAUUGACUUGCAGUUUCUCAAGUCACUCCUGACAUGAAAAAAAAAAAUCCCACAAUUUAUCCGAUUUUGACUCUGCCACUUAGAACCACUACAGUUUAUAUUCUACAAAUGAAGAGGAAGACAGUUGAUUCAGAAAUGGAUACCACUUCACUCUGUUUAAGAGAAAAAGAUCACAGCAUCACUCUCCUCAUUUACUGAAUGCUACACAGGCUUUCUGUGAUGUCAGUUCCCACUUGUAAUCCUCCCUUGUUUCCCUACUGCUUUCUCCUUUCCAUAAAACCUCUAUUAAGGAGGAAAAGAUGAAAAAGCUGCAGGAUGCCUUCUAAUUGCUAGCAUGAAGCACCCUCCGUCUGGAAAUGUCUUUACAAGCAUAUCUCAGUUGACAAAACCUCUAACAAAGAAGCUUUUUUUUUUUACAACAACUUCUUACACCCACCUGCCCGCACUUUCUCCCACAUAUCCUCUGUCUAACUUUGAAAGUUUUAGCAGAAUGGAGAAGAUGAUGAAGGAGUGCUGGAGAGACUUUCAAGGUUGGGUUGUAACAACGUAUCUACACAAAAUAUUGCAAUGAAAAAAGUUUGAGAUGGGAAGGAAUAGGAUUCCCCUCGAGCCAUUCUUACCAUAGCAGUAUGUGUCCAUAUCCAACAGGCAAGGCUCAACAGCAGCCACCUCCAAAACACCUUACUGAGCAAAACAAAGAGAAAAGGGGACAGUACACAAGCUUAACCUGAGUUAUCCUCGUCAUGUUAAAAAAGCUGAAGUUUGAUCAACAAAGUUUAAAACAAGAAAGUGUAAAAAUAAGGAAGAGUUGGUUGAUGAAGGAAAUAGCAACCCCUGGAUGCAUGCUGGAAGAUGCCUCCAAGUUGUUUCUAGAAGAUUCAAAAUGUUAUUGUUUACUAAUGCAAGGCUUUUCCAACAUGCUUCUUUUAUUCCCCAUAUUGUUAGUUUUGAAUGAAAAAUUUGCUGAAAUACGUUGAAUUCUGAAAAAAAAAGAGUUUUGUUAUUUGA